ACUUGAGCCCAGAAACCAUCUGCUUCUGUGCUUCCACCACCUCAAAAAAUAUCAAUUUUCCAACUCCACCACCCUUCUAGUACAGGCUUCUGUGGCUGUUGAACUCCUUCAUGGAGAACCUCCCCAGCUCCUGUACCUGCUUAUUAGUCUUCACGUCAUUCACCUCGGAUCUCCCCCCCACCAUUCCUCCUCCAUAACCACUCACUCCUGACAUAAGAAGUGUGAAAAAAACAAGAAAACACAUCAAAAAAGGAACUGAAGACUUCAUAAGUUUUGUCAUAGCUGAUACCGUGUGUAUAUAUAUAUAUAAACUCUUCCUCUUCUUUAUAUUUGUGUUUGAUGAGAAGGUGAGUACCAUAUGAGCUAUAUAUAGAGGAGGAGUAAAUGGAUGGAUGGGUUGUGUGACAGUGUGAUUGCCA